rnacentral:misc_RNA from 1 species
GAUGAAGAACGCAGCGAAAUGCGAUAAGUAAUGUGAAUUGCAGUAUUCAGUGAAUCAUCGAAUCUUUGAACGCACAUUGCGCCCGCCAGUAUUCUGGCGGGCAUGCCUGUCUGAGCGUCAUUUCAACCCUCAUGCCCCUAGGGCGUGGUGUUGGGGAUCGGCCAAAGCCCGCGAGGGACGGCCGGCCCCUAAAUCUAGUGGCGGACCCGUCGUGGCCUCCUCUGCGAAGUAGUGAUAUUCCGCAUCGGAGAGCGAUGAGCCCCUGCCGUUAAACCCCCACCUUUCCACGGUUGACCUCAGAUCAGGUAGGAAUACCCGCUGAACUUAAGCAUAUCAAUAAGCGGAGGA